GGUCAGGUGGCCGAGUGGUUAAGGCGUCACGUUUAGGCCGUGAUUUUCAAUCGAAAGCGCGGGUUCGAACCCCGUCCUGACCU
rfam:Salpingoeca sp. ATCC 50818 unplaced genomic scaffold supercont1.40, whole genome shotgun sequence.